rnacentral:rRNA from 1 species
AGCGAACGCUGGCGGCAGGCUUAACACAUGCAAGUCGAGCGGGCACUUUCGGGUGUCAGCGGCGGACGGGUGCGUAACGCGUGGGAACGUGCCCUCUGGUUCGGAAUAACUCAGGGAAACUUGAGCUAAUACCGGAUACGCCCUUUUGGGGAAAGGCUUGCUGCCGGAGGAUCGGCCCGCGUCUGAUUAGCUAGUUGGUGAGGUAACGGCUCACCAAGGCGACGAUCAGUAGCUGGUCUGAGAGGAUGAUCAGCCACACUGGGACUGAGACACGGCCCAGACUCCUACGGGAGGCAGCAGUGGGGAAUAUUGGACAAUGGGCGCAAGCCUGAUCCGGCCAUGCCGCGUGAGUGAUGAAGGCCUUAGGGUUGUAAAGCUCUUUUAUCCGGGACGAUAAUGACGGUACCGGAGGAAUAAGCCCCGGCUAACUUCGUG